GAUCUAUGAAAUCUAGAAUCAAAAGUGAAUUUCACAAUGUUAUGUAAUAAUUCGAUAUAAAAUCACCAGUUCGGCGUCAGAGUAAUCACAGUGGCUUCGGCUUUGAUCUAACCAGUUCUCUUCAUAUUUUCAAAUCUACAUACGACAUGCGCGGAGUAGUUGAAUUCUUUGGAUUUUCUCCGUUUGAGAGGAAUCGAGUGCGUGGUCCGUUUUGGGAGUUUGACAGACGUGGCUUUUAUGGUCCUGAAAGGCAUUCGACACGACAUGAAGCGUCACGUUGCUGGAGUCAUUUCAGACCACCAAGGCCUGAUUUUGCUUGCCAUCAUCACAGCCCCGACCGUGAACGACUUUGCCACAGACAUCCAAGGCCGCCACCUCAUCAACAUCCACAAAUAAACCAUGGACACCAAUAUUGCAAGUGUUCUCGAAGUCUUUGUGAAAGAUUUGCUGGAAUAUCCCACGAACUGCCUUGCUUCAGACGCGACGACCACAGUGCUGAGCGAAGACAUGAACACCGUGGACCACCUGGACGAGGGGUUCCACAUAGGGGUCAUCGACACGGGAAAGGUCCGGAAAGGCACUGUUCGAGUGGGAUGGACAGCAGUCCAGAGCGUGGUAGACGCUAUGGACCAAUAAGACACAGCCGUUGUCGUGGCUCCCGUAAGAGCCCAGGAAAGUCGCAAAGGCUGACUCAGGAAGGUGGAUGUAGAAAAAGAUGCGUCCGUCAAUGGAAAAACUGCGAUUCACGACCUUGCUGCGCUAAUGAUAAGGUGCAAAAUACUGAAGGAUCUGGCGAAGAAGACACAGGAGGAGAUGGCGGAAAUAACACCGUUUUGGUUCAGACGGUUUUCGUUGACACAGAUCAGAGGUGCAAGUCAGUUUAAUUUAUCGCAAAAGGAUAGAUUUAGAUAUUUUAAUAUCAGUUCUUUAUAUAUGUAAUUCUCGACGAACAAAACCCUUGUAUUUUUUUUUUCAUAAUAAAUGUCGUCUAUUUUUAACAUAGAAAUGUUUAGAUUACGAUUUGUAUUUUGCUUGUGACGCGAUCGAAAAAAACAAGAUACGGCUUAGCAUUAAUAAUGUUUUUUAUAAAUAUUUAUAAGCAUUAAUAAUCAUUCGUUUAUGGUAAUCACUAUACCGACGAUGCUAAUUACUAGUGUUGAUACUAAAGCAAUUAAAAAAAAAUGUGUGAAAUUAAAAAUAUGAACAGAAUAUAAAAAAAAAAAAAUUAUUUACCAGUGCAUUUUAUGAGAUUAUAACAUGUCUCUGCAUACACAUAAACCUGUUUUAUAUUCUAUACUAAUAUUAAAGUUGUAUAUAACACACGUUUUUCGUGUCUAAUAAAUAAACAAGUUUUUUUAGCGGGAAUAAAAUAAAAUUUUGCAUAAGAGAAUACGAAGAUUGUUUUGUCAAUAAAGACCAUUAACAUAUUGAAUUGUAAAAUCGAAUAUACGUAGUUAUUAUUAGGUAUUAGGUAUAACAUGAAAUGGAAAUUUGAA